rnacentral:rRNA from 1 species
UACAACCAUAUCACUUCGAAACACCAGUUCUCGUGCGAUCACUGAAGUUAAGCAAUGUCGAGUCCGGUUAGUACCUGGAUGGGUGGUCGCUUGGGACUACCAGGUGCU